GUCCUCAAUCAGCUGUCUGAAUGACCCUAAAGGCACCAGAACAUCACAUUCAUCAGUAAUAAGGUCCUCAAUCAGCUGUCUGAAUGACCCAAGAGGCACCAGAACAUCACAUUCAUCAGUAAUACGGUCCUCAAUCAGCUGUCUGAAUGACCCAAGAGGCACCAGAACAUCACAUUCAUCAGUAAUAAGGUCCUCAAUCAGCUGUCUGAAUGACCCAAGAGACACCAGAACAUCACAUUCAUCAGUAAUAAGGUCCUCAAUCAGCUGUCUGAAUUACCGAAGAGGCACCAGAACAUCACAUUCAUCAGUAAUAAGGUCCUCUAUCAGCUUUCUGAAUUACCAUGGAGACACCAGAACAUCACAUUCAUCAGUAAUAAGGUCCUCAAUCAGCUGUCUGAAUUACCAUGGAGGCACCAGAACAUCACAUUCAUCAGUGAUAAGGUCCUCAAUCAGCUGUUUGAAUGACCCAAGAGGCACCAGAACAUCACAUUCAUCAGUAAUAAGGUCCUCAAUCAGCUGUCUGAAUUACCCAAGAGACACCAGAACAUC
ensembl:lncRNA